UACGUAAGCAGCGAGCGUUGUUCGGAAUUACUGGGCGUAAAGAGUGUGUAGGCGGUGCUCUAAGUUCGGUGUGAAAUCUCCCGGCUUAACUGGGAGGGUGCGCCGGAAACUGGAGUGCUCGAGCGUGGGAGAGGAAAGCGGAAUUCCUGGUGUAGCGGUGAAAUGCGUAGAUAUCAGGAGGAACACCUGCGGUGUAGACGGCUUUCUGGACCAUUGCUGACGCUGAGACACGAAAGCGUGGGUAGCAAACAGG
rnacentral:rRNA from 1 species